UCCGAAGCCGCCGUGUAGCUCCGUGCUCGGUCGUACGCCAAGCCACGCGGACCCACGGACCUAUUUGUGAAAGUGCGAUCGCUACGAUUUCUCGGUAGUGAGAGUAAACCGAGCCCGUACCAGCGGAACCUAAACUUAAUUCAACAGUGGUGUGAAUUGUCUCGCGAAUACAAGACAGAGUUCAAUGGAAGCCAGGUUUGUGAAUUGCCGGAGCUUCCAGCAGAUCAAGCCGCCCGAGAAGAGUUUAGCACCGCCGCCGACGGUGAAAGGGCUGCUGUCUCGCUUCGGAAGCCAGGCUCAAGCUUUGUUCGCGCCGAAGAAACCACGAUUCGGCUCCACUGUAGCUAUACAUAAGUUGAGGGAGUCUAAGUGGUUCAAACACGAUGAGCAAAAUAUUUUGUGUGCGGUGCUCGAGUCUGGAUUCGUUUUGGAGGUUAGGGCAGAGGACCCUUUGCCACCGGACUCUACGUUGUCCCAAGACUACCAUAUGUACGCCAUUGCCAUGUGGAAGAAGGGUAAAGAAAAAACAAAAAACCCGGAACAGAUAGAGGUGUACACCGUUCAGCAAAAGGGUGUGCGCAAACGUAUAAUCAAGACAACCUUGAGUGCCUUCUGGAAGAAAGACUCCGUCAUACGAAUCAACAACGUAGACGACAAGCAAGAGACCCCCAACACUGAGAAGGACAUCAGAGCAAAGCUCGAGAUGGCAACAAAAUCCAGAUUCGAAAGAAACUGGCAUAAUACACUGCAUUUCGUCCAUUGGUGCCGAUAUGGGGAGACUCCGCAAGAAGCUCGCAUGAGACAGAUCAGCUUAACGACGUCGAAAACACCUAUGAUUAUCAUCUUUUGAUGGUAUUCGUUGAGGCGCUUUGGACAUACUGCUGGCAACAUAACCAUACCGAUAAGCGAGUCGCUUAAGUGGGGCAACAUUGGCAUGAAUAUGGGCGUGAUGCUCGUAAGCCAAAGCAACGCUCGUGCUAAGGCGAAAUCCGUCUGAGUGUUGCAGGCCGGCGAUAGUGCCGGCACAUGCUACGCUUGCUUCUGGCAACCCACGCCCGGGAACAUAGACUUCGUUUGAAUUUCGAACCUGAUAUUAGGUUCUUUAUCAUUCCAUUGCCGUAAAUUAAAACAAAAAAAUAUUUAGAUUAGCAACACAGACUAAAGAAAAAUUUCUAAUGGCUCCCUAAAUGUACUUCGAUGUGCAUGACACUUAACCUUGAUGAACUUGUUUGUAUUGAGUUGAGAUCUUCUUUAGUCUGUGAUUAGAAAGAUUCCAAAUUUGAAAAUGUUAGAUUAUUUAAAUGUUUUGUCUAUGGUGGCUCGGGUUACGGAUAUUAAAAUUUUAAAAAUAAAUAACGGAAUCUCUCGCAUUAUAUUUAAGAAUGAGGUCCGUCUAAUAUAAAUUAUUUAUGAAUGGUUGAUAGAAUUCGAAAAUAGUAUUGCGUUGUGAAUAUUUAAGAGGUACUUUAUAAUCGGAAUCUCUUGUGACAUCAGGGGUCCGAAUUUCUUCUUAUUCUGUUUUAAAUACGUUCAGUUUUCCUACGUUCCAUUUUAUUAAAAAUUAAAUUUUCCUUCAGUCUUACUUUUUUUUAUUUCAUGUUCAGGAAGUAUAAAUAAUGUGAGGGAUUUAAGAAGCUUUAAUUUUAUUUAGAAUUUGGUUUAAUCAACGUAAAUUAACAUUCCUUUCAUAAGAAAAGACGCGCCCCGCGGCUUCAAAUAUAAAUAAAUAAUUAAUUAUUGUACAUGUUUAAUUAAAUCGUAUUAUCUGACGUAUUGUUUUACACCUAUGAGAAUAAUGAUUGUGCGAAAAGUUAUUUUGUCUUUGCGACAAAAGAUUUUCGAUUUAAUAAGACUGUUUUGAUUUUUGAAAGUGUUAUUUAACAAAACUACGAAAAACGCGUGUAUCUUACCAAAUAUGAUAUGAAGUUUCCGUUAUAAAAAAAAAUCUUCUGUACAAUACAGAAAUGUAUUCAUAAAUUCUAGUAUCUUGUCUAUAAGUCAGUUUCUUGAUAACUAUAAUUAUUACAAAAUUUAAAAGGUAUCAUCAAUUAAUAAAAUUACUUUAAAAUUUUCUUCGGCCCUUUGUACUUAAACAUUUAAUCAAUUUUGAUCCAAUUUUGGCCCAUUAUGAGUUUGGGUUUGUUAAAGUGCAUGCCAGAAAUCAUUAGUUAUUGGUUCCUUCUAAAUAAAAUAUUAAUAUUUAAAGUUUUAAGUUAAAACUCAUUUCAGAUCUCAGUCCUGCUUCUACGUUAUGGCAUCAAAUUUACUUCUGCAGUAGUUUUUUAGAUUUAUUUUUAAUUUUAAACAAUUGGCAUAACCUUUAAUUAAGACAUAAGUACCUACAGCAUUAUCUACGUAUAUUUACAAACGGGCAUAACUUGAAAUAACUAUCUAUCGAGCGAGAAAUAUAUCUACGGCGUUUUUGACGCCGAACUGAUGAACCUACGUUAAGUAUAUCUAUCCACAGACUGAUUUGUCUUUAUAGAGGUUUUCAUUCGUAAACUUCGUUCAAUCCGAUAUUUUACGAAUAUUAUAAUCACAUAGUUUUUCGUAGUUGGUGCGUUAAUGAGUAUUUGUUAAGUAUUCAUAUUUAUAAAGUGAAAUAACGACCUAAUGUGAACGUGUUUAUGUGACACACGUUCGACUGUUUGAAAGUCACUGAUACAAGUUGAUGUUAUAUUUAUGAGGCAUUUUUUUUUUAAAUAAACGUUUUAAAUGAAA